rnacentral:rRNA from 1 species
GAUGAACGCUGACAGAAUGCUUAACACAUGCAGGUCAUUGGCGAAGCUGCGCUUGCGCAGUCUAGCCAAGGCGGACGGGUGAGUAACGCGUAAGGAACUUGCCCUGCAGACAGGGAUAACAGACGGAAACGACUGAUAACACCUGGUAUUGUCAGGCUGGCGCAUGCCGGCCUGAUGAAAGGAGACGCUGCAGGAGAGCCUUGCGUCCUAUUAGCUAGUUGGUGGGGUAACGGCCCACCAAGGCGAUGAUAGGUAGCCGGCCUGAGAGGGUGAACGGCCACAAGGGGACUGAGAUACGGCCCUUACUCCUACGGGAGGCAGCAGUGGGGAAUAGUGGACAAUGGGGGCAACCCUGAUCCAGCAAUUCUGUGUGCACGAAGAAGGUUUUCGGAUUGUAAAGUGCUUUCAGCAGGGAAGAAGAAAGUGACGUUACCUGCAGAAGAAGCGACGGCUAAAUACGUG